rnacentral:lncRNA from 1 species
UAUUCCUGUGUAGAAUAUAUAUAUAUACAUAUAUAUAUAUAUUUGUGUGGGUGCUUAUGCGUGCCCACACUAUGGAUAUUAGAGCUGUAAGUUCAAAGUCUUUCUCAAUCACUCGAAAACUUAUCUUCUAAGAUUAGGUCCUUUACUGAUCUUAGAUUUCACCGUUGGCUGGACUGUCAGGCUAGAGAGCUCCAGAAACCGCCUGCCUCUGCUUCCCAGAGAUACAUGACUUCGCCCUGCCUUUACAUGGGUGCUAGGGGUCUGAACUCAGUUCCUCCUGCUUGGAUGGCAGGCACUUUACCCACUUAGCCACCUCAAGCACCAGGAAACACUUUUGUUACUAGUUAACAGCUCUUGUCUCCUUUCUUUGCUCAACUAUGAGUAACUAAAAGGCAACAUAGGUUUUGGGGACUCACUCAACAAUAUGUAAAUAUCAGAUCUACUGUGGUGUGACCUUAGGCUAGACAGUCAUCUCCAUGUGACUUAAGUAUAUUUCACCUCUGUUGAAAUCUGCCUUUGUGGUACUAGGCUUAUAUGAAGGAGUACAGAUUAUAUCUCACAUAAUCACUGAGCCAGGGACCAGUGAUCUUUCUUGUGAGAAUAAUGAGCUCAAAUCCUUGAAGGCACAUUGAGACUCUCUAGAGAGCUAAUCCUGGAGCUCCCAUCUUGAUCUUCUAUAUUUAUUACAUAUUACAGGCACUAAACCGAUACCUGCUAGGAGAUAGUACUUUGCAGACUUCUACAUCAAAUUUUGGCUGGACUCUCUUGGUUUAACUUCUACUUUAUGUUAUUUUCUCUGCUCUUUGCGCUUGGUACUUCUCAGAUACUUGCCACUUGUACCAAUGAAGAUGGUUUUCUCUGCCCUUUUGUUAGCAGGAGGUAGCACUAAGGGAUUUUUGUGUUGAAUACCUAUCAUGAGGACAUGAUAUUUGUCAGGACACUGACCUGAGAAAAUUAAUACUGUCUGUGAUAGUGGAACAUUCUCUGUCUGCAAGUGAGUUAAUUAUUUUUCUGGUACGGCCGGCCUGGCUCCAGUGACUUUCAGUUUUUGGCUUAUUGCCAUGGCAAGAAUCCAAUCCUAAUUCCCCCUCUGCAUAGGUGAAGACACGUUUUAACUGUUAAAGUGCUCCGUAGCUGAAGAUAUGGAUACUCUUCCCCUCUUGACUAGAAAGGAAAGCUGGCAUAGCUUCCUUUACUUCAGAGUAGAGUGGAAAGGAUUUGAGCCUGAGUCACAGUUGUUGGAUGUUUAAUCCAAGGCCCUUUGAACAGUUAUCCUGUCUGUUUUCACCACACACAUUAGGUUUAGAUAAAACAUGAUUAUAUGAUAAUGCCAUAAUAACGACUGCUUCUGAUUGUAUUUGUGUUUUGUUAACCAGGAAAACAUUUGCCUCCAGUUUGGGCAUUGCUGGUCAGUUGUUGCCAAUAUUAUCAGCUUUCGCCUUUUGUCAGUCUGAGGUUUAGAAUACACUAACCAUGGACUGUCCAGUGUUCUUGUUAGAGCCUCAUUUGGCAUUUGUAUUUAUGUUGCCCCAUGGAAAAACAAGAAUUUGUCACACAGCCCCAGCCUUGCUGUCCUUGUGGAAUUCCCUAACCCUACCUAUUGAUUAUUCUUUGCAUCGCUGUCACAAAACUCCUGACAGAAUCAACUUGAAGGAGGAAAGAUUUAACUCGGUUGACAGAUUCUGAGAGUUCAGUCUGAGGUCACUUGGCUCAGUGUUUCUGGGUCUGACACGACACAGAACAUCGGGACAGUGGCGACAUGUGGUAGAAACUGGCUACGUCACACAGUGAACAGAAUGCAGGGAUCACAAUGGCAGGACUUCUCCCUGAGUGAAGUGUUCCAUCCAAGUAGACCUCCCAACAUUACUGAGUCACGCAAAUAAUGUCAUUGACAACCAACCUUGUAAUACAGGAGACUUUGAGACAGGGGCACAAUUCAUGCCCAAACCAUAAUAUCCUACAACAGAUGAAAGUGGAAAACAACUUUCCUUACAAGUUAGUGAUGAGGGACACUUGACAGUAAAACACAUGAUGCAGACCUUGAGAUCCUGAUUUCGGGGAAGGGCAGCAAAUGGGUCAUUACAACAAGCCAAUAACUAAUUUCGAGAAAAACAAAAAGCGAUCAUAAGUUCGUUUGGUUCCUCAUGGUGAUGAUUUAGUCUGUUUGGCUGCUGUGAGACCUAGGGAAAAUUACUCUAUCUCCCCAAGCCAUAAUUAAUUCCUUUAUAAAGUGGUAAUAAGAGUUGCUGCCUUUUCUGGCUGGAAUUGCGAGGAUCAGAAAUGGUCUUGUGAAACCAUUGCUUUAUCCACGCAGCUUCCCGCAGGCUGCCGCCAAGCUAAGCAAAGAAUACAUGUGCCACAGCACCCUGAGCCCAGACAUCCAACAUCCUAUGCAUCAUACACGCUAGCUGUAUGUCAUGUGGACUCCCACAAGAUUCAAAGAAACAUAAGAUGUGGGGCUUGUUGAGAAAUGACUCUGAAUGGCUGUGGG